AUAAUGGGUCAGCGACUUAUAUUCUGUAGCAAGGUUAACCGAAUAGGGGAGCCGAAGGGAAACCGAGUCUUAACUGGGCGUUAAGUUGCAGGGUAUAGACCCGAAACCCGGUGAUCUAGCCAUGGGCAGGUUGAAGGUUGGGUAACACUAACUGGAGGACCGAACCGACUAAUGUUGAAAAAUUAGCGGAUGACUUGUGGCUGGGGGUGAAAGGCCAAUCAAACCGGGAGAUAGCUGGUUCUCCCCGAAAGCUAUUUAGGUAGCGCCUCGUGAAUUCAUCUCCGGGGGUAGAGCACUGUUUCGGCAAGGGGGUCAUCCCGACUUACCAACCCGAUGCAAACUGCGAAUACCGGAGAAUGUUAUCACGGGAGACACACGGCGGGUGCUAACGUCCGUCGUGAAGAGGGAAACAACCCAGACCGCCAGCUAAGGUCCCAAAGUCAUGGUUAAGUGGGAAACGAUGUGGGAAGGCCCAGACAGCCAGGAUGUUGGCUUAGAAGCAGCCAUCAUUUAAAGAAAGCGUAAUAGCUCACUGGUCGAGUCGGCCUGCGCGGAAGAUGUAACGGGGCUAAACCAUGCACCGAAGCUGCGGCAGCGACGCUGAUGCGUUGUUGGGUAGGGGAGCGUUCUGUAAGCCUGCGAAGGUGUGCUGUGAGGCAUGCUGGAGGUAUCAGAAGUGCGAAUGCUGACAUAAGUAACGAUAAAGCGGGUGAAAAGCCCGCUCGCCGGAAGACCAAGGGUUCCUGUCCAACGUUAAUCGGGGCAGGGUGAGUCGACCCCUAAGGCGAGGCCGAAAGGCGUAGUCGAUGGGAAACAGGUUAAUAUUCCUGUACUUGGUGUUACUGCGAAGGGGGGACGGAGAAGGCUAUGUUGGCCGGGCGACGGUUGUCCCGGUUUAAGCGUGUAGGCUGGUUUUCCAGGCAAAUCCGGAAAAUCAAGGCUGAGGCGUGAUGACGAGGCACUGCGGUGCUGAAGCAACAAAUGCCCUGCUUCCAGGAAAAGCCUCUAAGCAUCAGGUAACAUCAAAUCGUACCCCAAACCGACACAGG
rnacentral:rRNA from 1 species